rnacentral:rRNA from 1 species
UAGAGUUUGAUCCUGGCUCAGGACGAACGCUGGCGGCGUGCCUAAUACAUGCAAGUCGAGCGGACAGAAGGGAGCUUGCUCCCGGAUGUUAGCGGCGGACGGGUGAGUAACACGUGGGUAACCUGCCUGUAAGACUGGGAUAACUCCGGGAAACCGGAGCUAAUACCGGAUAGUUCCUUGAACCGCAUGGUUCAAGGAUGAAAGACGGUUUCGGCUGUCACUUACAGAUGGACCCGCGGCGCAUUAGCUAGUUGGUGAGGUAACGGCUCACCAAGGCGACGAUGCGUAGCCGACCUGAGAGGGUGAUCGGCCACACUGGGACUGAGACACGGCCCAGACUCCUACGGGAGGCAGCAGUAGGGAAUCUUCCGCAAUGGACGAAAGUCUGACGGAGCAACGCCGCGUGAGUGAUGAAGGUUUUCGGAUCGUAAAGCUCUGUUGUUAGGGAAGAACAAGUGCAAGAGUAACUGCUUGCACCUUGACGGUACCUAACCAGAAAGCCACGGCUAACUACGUGCCAGCAGCCGCGGUAAUACGUAGGUGGCAAGCGUUGUCCGGAAUUAUUGGGCGUAAAGGGCUCGCAGGCGGUUUCUUAAGUCUGAUGUGAAAGCCCCCGGCUCAACCGGGGAGGGUCAUUGGAAACUGGGAAACUUGAGUGCAGAAGAGGAGAGUGGAAUUCCACGUGUAGCGGUGAAAUGCGUAGAGAUGUGGAGGAACACCAGUGGCGAAGGCGACUCUCUGGUCUGUAACUGACGCUGAGGAGCGAAAGCGUGGGGAGCGAACAGGAUUAGAUACCCUGGUAGUCCACGCCGUAAACGAUGAGUGCUAAGUGUUAGGGGGUUUCCGCCCCUUAGUGCUGCAGCUAACGCAUUAAGCACUCCGCCUGGGGAGUACGGUCGCAAGACUGAAACUCAAAGGAAUUGACGGGGGCCCGCACAAGCGGUGGAGCAUGUGGUUUAAUUCGAAGCAACGCGAAGAACCUUACCAGGUCUUGACAUCCUCUGACAACCCUAGAGAUAGGGCUUUCCCUUCGGGGACAGAGUGACAGGUGGUGCAUGGUUGUCGUCAGCUCGUGUCGUGAGAUGUUGGGUUAAGUCCCGCAACGAGCGCAACCCUUGAUCUUAGUUGCCAGCAUUCAGUUGGGCACUCUAAGGUGACUGCCGGUGACAAACCGGAGGAAGGUGGGGAUGACGUCAAAUCAUCAUGCCCCUUAUGACCUGGGCUACACACGUGCUACAAUGGACAGAACAAAGGGCUGCGAGACCGCAAGGUUUAGCCAAUCCCACAAAUCUGUUCUCAGUUCGGAUCGCAGUCUGCAACUCGACUGCGUGAAGCUGGAAUCGCUAGUAAUCGCGGAUCAGCAUGCCGCGG